CCUUUCUGUUCGGGUGAGUUAUUUUGAUAUUUAAGGUAAAGAAAAAAAAAACAAAACGACCUUUUCAGGUUCUCCUUCGGGGGAGCUUUGUAACCCCUUUCCGGUAAGGUGGGAACUCAUCUUGACGGUCGAGUUUAAAAGAACAAUGGAACCCUGGCUACGUUUAAAGAAAAAUAAAACUUGUUUUUUUUCUUCUGGGUGUUGGCUCUUAACUCUUUCAAAGCCGAUUUUGAGAACGGCUGCAGCGUUAACGGAUGAGAAAGGGACUUGCUGCUUAUUAAAACCCCGAUGACGUUAAGGUUGUCUUUUAAAAUGCAAGUUGGAGGAGGAGUGCGCCUGGCAUUUCAAAAAUCGGGAAGACAAGUUUACUAUAACGUCAAGGCUGUUUAAUGGAAACAUUUUAAUUGUGGUGCUAGACGAUGACGUUUGUUAAUACAGUUUAAUCUGCCGAGUUUAUUUGACAUUCUACUAUUUGAGUAAUGAUUAAAUGCGCUGUUUGGGUACUUUUUAAAAGGUCAUAAGGAGCCGUUAUCUGUAACUUAUCCCACCUGAACGUUAGAACGUACUUGAGGCAGUGCCUAGACUUAAAAAGUUUAAGUUCAUCAUUUUAUUAUUUUUAAAAAUAAUCUACCUUACCACAAGACAUGGUCGACAGAACUUUUACAAAGGAAUAUUUUGACACCAAAUCUCUUUGUGAAGUUACUUUCUCGCAGUGUAAAUAUUAAAGUAGGAUUGCUCUCGGUCAUGGACGAAGAAGAGGAGCCAUGUUUGUUGCAUUUGUUGCAUGCAUGAAAAUCUAGAUAUUCUUCAAACGGAACAGUAUUUUAGUAUAUAUUGGUUUCCAGAAAUUUUGCAGAGCUCUCUGUGAAUUUGAAAAAAUGUUUGAGAGGGAAUUUAAGUUUUUUGGUUUGAACAGACCACAAGUGCAAAAAACCUUUGUGUAUUUUAGAAUAUAUUUGUCUUCAUUCUGCGGUAGCUCUUGUAUGUUGUAAAGGUGCAGAUUUGCCUAAAAAUAUUGUUGGGCAAAUUUACCAAGUACUUAUAAGAUGAAAGAUAUUGCUGUAAUCGACCGCGUUUCUGAGGGUAUUUUUGUCAGUAAAAUUGUUUUAUUUCCGUGUAGCAUUCAUAUAGUGUUACAUGUUACAUCAGUUGCGCAUAUCUUGAUUUUAUAGACUCUGUUGUUUAGGUACCAGUUCUGUUUUUUCAAAUUGACAUUUUUGGAAAUUUUUGAACAUUGAAAGUGGUUUUAAAUGAAUAUUCUGAAUCUGGUAUUUCAGAAUCCUCUUUGAAUAGUGAAAUGCAAAAUAAUUGCUGGCAGUUUAACCUCAUAAGAUCUUUUUACAUGAGUAAGGGGGGAAGGGAGAGGCUGAAAGUGUUCAAGACCCCGGUUUGAAAUUGAGUAAAUGUCAUAGACACAGUACAUGUUUGAAACUUGCUCAAAAGACAAAGCUCAUAUCCCACUUGGUGAGAUCAAAUAACUUGUAGUUUAAAAAUGUAAAAGUAACCAGUGGCCAUUUUAACUUAACUGAUUUCUCCUGGAAGAGUUAAUUUUCAGUUACUCAUAAUUUAAAAAGGUAUUUUUAGAUGGUAAAGGAACUGUUAAGAUUUCAGUCUUUAAAAAUGGUGAACUUUUCCUUUGUAUUUUUUGUCGUUCCUGUCUUCAAAAGGAGGAAGAUAAAACAAGGUCAUAAUCUUAUAUCUGUCCCAAGAUGUAAAUCUUUUGUAUUUUUUAUUUCAAUGCCUUAAUCGCAAGUAUUAGUCCACGCAACCAAAAGAUGAGGAAAACAAAGACUGAUAGAUGUUAAGAUAAGAAAUAACUGCAGCCUAAAAUGGACAGGUAGUGUGUGGAUGAGCUGUCUCCUACGUUUAGCCAUAGAUUGUGUCUUUGGAGUAUUUUUUCCUCAUUGUUUCAUCAUCCUGAAACUUCAGGCCAAGAAAUGUUUAAAAAUCAAAACACUGAUAUCAUUUUCCUUUUUUUUUAAAGGUAACUUACAAGAUUAAAAUUAAAUUUGGUUGACGAUGGUUCUGAACAAAUACAGCUCUUUUAUUUGAGAUAAACCAUUUCGAAGACUCGAGACCGUGGAGUUUUAUCUUUGAGGAUAAAGGAAAUCUUUGCGAAAAUCUGUAUUUUACAUAGCAAGUAAGUAAAUGUUCUUACCCACUAUCUGAAAUUUAAUAUCUACCACCAUUUGCGUAGGAAAAUAUCAGUAAAAUCUGUCAAAAACAUAAAGACUGUUUGAAAAAGAGAUAGGAAAAAGCCCAUCAAACUCCAUUUCUUUUUAUCCAAGCACUUUUGUAUUGAUAUGGAAAUAGUUGAUACAUGUAGUUUCUAUCAGAACAGGAAAAUGGUGCUUCAGGGUUAUGGUUAAAUCAGUAGUUGAGUCAUCAAAAUUUAUCUUUACGAUAUGAAGUAUACAUUCUUUUUGGUGAUACUGAUCAGGUUUUAGAAAUGACUUAGAAUUUUGCAUUUGCAGAUUUUAGGAUUCUUGCAAGAGCUAUAUUUCAAAAACGAAAUAGAAACUUUCACAUUCUAGUUGUUACCUAAUGGUUUUAAAUAGUCACUUUUCCCAUUUUUAUGAGUUUUCAAACAGAUACAAAAACAAGUUAUUUUAUAGAAAACUAGAAUAAUGAAUCUAAAGAGACCCCCAUAGCUUAGUAAUUUUUAAGUCAUAAAAGGAAGAAGUAAUAUUCACUGUGCUUCCAGCAAUUUUACAUCUUAAAACUAGCUAUGAGAGUGAAAAAAAUUAUGUCCACUGACAAUUUUCAGAAAAUAUUCUUUAUUCAUAAGUUAAUACUGAACCUGAAAAUUAACGUCAAGCUGAUAUUAGUAAGCAUUUGCCAGAGAAAGUAUGUAAUAAUAGGUAUCUUAGGGAAUUUUAACAGUUGCCAAACAACCAGUAAUUAACAUAAGGGCAAGUUUACCUUUGUCCUUGAAAUUUAUGUGGAAAAUCUUUUUAUCUCUUGGUGUUUGCUUAUUCUGUUGAUUCAAAUAGGUGAUAAAGGUAAUAUUUUUAUUACCUUUAAUUUUUCCUUUUCAGUCCUUUGUAAUUUGAUCAAAUUUGUGUUUGUAGUGUGCAAAAGAAACCGGAAUGUUAGACCUGUAUAGUGUUUUUAAAGAUACAACACACAAAAUAUUUAAAACACCUUUUAUCCCAAGGUUUCUUAACAUAAAUGUCAAUGUUAGAGUUUCCUCUGUGCAAAUUAUUGGAUAUUAGAUUGUCAUUCAGAGGUGGUUGGGCACUUAGAAAAAUUGAGAAUUGGGUUUGUCAAGACACAAACGUAUGUGAAGUGUAACGUAAGCUUAAGUAUAAAUUGGCAAUAAAUUUGUAAUGGCCUACCAAAGUGUAAUUUAACCCAUAAAAUAAAAAAUGAAUAAUUGAAGGUUAGAAAUGUAAAUGAAGAUUUUUAUCUUUUUAAAAAUUUAGUAUUAAUAAUUAUAGAAAAAUUAAAUGAUGUAGUAACUUCUACAUUAGUCUUCCAAACUAAUGGAAUACAACUGUCCUUUUAUCACCAGCAAGAUAAGGUAUUAUAAUAGGUCACAUUUUAAAAGAUCUUCAUGUACUUCAACCUUCAUGAUAGUGCUGGUAUUCAUUGUUUUGAUAUUUGCGGCUUGAGCCAAGCUUGUAUAAUGGGCAAUAAUAAUUUUGAUGGACAAAAAUAGUGAACACAUGAAGACAAAUAUAAAUGUAGAACUAUUUUAAAUUACUGUGUUUCAUGAGGAAAGUAAAUUAUUUAAUUUACUGCUAUUUUCUGCUGAGAGGAUCAAAGUGGUAAAUGCUUAAAUAUUUUCUAUUAAUUUAGCAUUUUGAGCUAAUUCUUGAGUCAUAAAAAAAAUCACCCGAUCAAGUUGGUGAUUAGAUUGGCUUGAAUUUGUUGUCAUGGUAAUAAUAACUGUUUAAAAAUUACCUUAAGUUCCACAGAAAUGAAAGAAGCCAUGCUCAUAGUUUAUCACAAGGUUUUUGUUAACCAUGACAUGACACUUAGGUGGCUAGAUUGUGAAAUAGGUAAUUUUGAAUAGAAAUUUUUUUUCAAGUUUAUUUUACUGUUGUUUCGUUUCUUAAUUAUUAAAACACUGGGACUGGGACAACCAAUUAAUUUACUUUUUCUCCUCUCAGUUUUAAUUCUUUGCUGAGAGGUAUAAGGGGAAAGAGAUAAUUUGCGGACAUCUCCAUCUCCCGCAUUAGGGAGAGGUAGGUGUGUGAUGGAGUGGAAAAUACAACAGAUUCAGCAGUCAAGAGACCCAGCUUCUAAUGUAAAUUAGCCCUGUGAUCUUGACAUUUUGUUCAGUGUACACCGUAGUCUCCUACUUAGUAUAAAGUAUUUGGAGUUUCCAAUUUUUUAAGAUACCUUUUAGCUCUUAAAUUCUGCUAAUAAAAGAUAUAGUAAGGAGUGUCUAAUUCUCUUAUAAAAACUGGAGAAUAGGUUUUGUAAUUUUUGCAUCACAAAUCAUGUAAUUCUGUGGUGAAACUAUUUGAAUAACAGGACCUGGGCAAUCCUGUAGCCGACAUUCUUAAUUUUAGGCAUUUCCAGAUAGCAAUAAAUAGUAUUUAUGAAGACAUUGGAAAAUUGAUCUUAAAAAACAGCUAGGGUGUUGUCUUUAAACAAUUGAGAUUUAGAAUGUGGUAAUAAAAGCAUUAUUUAGAGUUUUAAAAACAAUUAUUUGAUUAAAUAUGUUUAAGCUUUAGGCCCUGGUUGGGUGGCAUAAUUAGCUAGAGCACUGUUCUAGUAGCCAAGGUGUUGGGCUUGGUCUCCCCAUCAUGGCACAUACAAGAAGCAACCAAUGAGUGCAUAAAUAAGGGGAACAACAAAUCUGUGUUUUUCUCUUUUUCUCUUUCUGUCCCCCUUCUUCCUCCCCUCUCCCUCUUUCUCUAUAAUAAAAAUAACAAAGUUUAUUGUGUCUAAUGAAACAUUUGCAGCUGACCUUCGAUCAUAAGUGAUACAGUUCACAUGCCUUGCAUAAUUUCCUUUAAGAAAUAUCUAUACUUCAAACAUAGAUAUCCUUGUUUUUACCAGCUAUCUUCCCUUUCCAGAUCGAUUGUAUUAAUUCAAAAUUUUAAGUUUCACAUUGAGUGUUAUUUCUGAGUAUGAUUAACCAUUACAAUUUAAAUUCAAGGAUAUUAUAAACGUUAUAGAUAAAUGUGACUUGAUUUUUUUUUUUUACAUAACAUUUAAGUGGCGUUUUCCUACAACAAUUUGAUAAUUUUGAUUUAAACCUUGUGUAAAGCUAGAUAGUUUUGUAUUUUGAAAAACAAUCCUUUACUUUUAAAACUAAAUCAUUUACCUGGGAUGGAAUAUUUCCCAGACAAAGAAUUAUACCUUUAAUGUGUACUAUGUAGUAAUCAUAAUCAUUUUAAUUUAGAUUAUGCUAGAUAUUUUGCCUAACUUGAAUGGUUUGUGAAUUGUUGUGUGGCAAAGUUUUGUAAUGACUUAUCACUACCUUAUUUUUGUGGAAGAUUUUCUUAUAUUUAUUUUAUAGUGUUCUCAGGUUUUAUUAUUAAUGUUAAAAAUUGUUUUAAUGAUUUUAAAAGGUGGCAAAAUCAAAUGCUAUAAGGAAAGCACAAAUGGACUAAUGAUGAUGAUAAUACAAGAUUUGACUAAAACCAUCUUUGCCUUUUAUUAUAAAAGGCCCAGACAUCAAAAUGGUUAUUUACAUGGCAACUAUAAUUUCAUAUUAAAUGAGAAUCUACAAUACUUCAAAAUAUUAAAGAUAGAAACGAGCAAAAUUAUCAGCUUUUAUAGCCUGCUUAAGCUCAUUUCAGCUUCUUCCCCCUUCAAAGGAAGGCAAAGUACUACUUGGUCAAUUUUUGGGAAGGAGCCAGUAUGGUAGGUUACAUCCAUAUUAGCACAAAGUGAGAUCCAAGUCCUUUUCUGAAUUUGGUAGAUGCUAAACCCAGAGGUACAUAAUUGUAUUGGUAGGUAGCUUUUUUUAUAAGUACGUUAUCAGACCACUGUGACAUUUCUUUCACCAAUAUUCCUUAAGUCAACUCCACCCUUUUCUUAGGGGUUAUAUCAGUUUAAUUUACUUGGUUGAUUUAAAAUUUGUCUUUAUUCCAAAAAUCGUCUCUUCCUUAUAAGGUCCGAUUCAAUUGGAAGCUUAAAAAUAAAUAAUGCUAUGUUUCUUAUAAAUUGCUUUGUUCCCUUUUGGGAGGAUAUUUUGGCACCUUCCUCUUAGAGGUAAUGUUGAAGCAGAUUUUUGCUGUAUUGACUAUGAUUAGUCAAGAUGACUAAAGGGAUUUAGAUUUGGUAAGAAUAUCAGGAACUUGCUUUAUAAUUUGAAAUUUCAAAACCUUAGCAUGGAAAAGCAUUUGGAUAGCUUAAAUCCUAAACUGUUCUUUUGCUUUCUAAAAAUUCUUAAAUAGCUGUACUUUAAUAUUGAACUUUUAAAUGGAGCUUUUUUGGUAGCUCAACAUGCUGUAUUAUAAUCAUACUUUGGAGCAGGAGUGACUGAAAAAACUACGUAUUUCAGAAGAUAUUUUAGAUACAAGAAACAACUCUUCUAUGUUUAGUUUAUGUAUUUCAGUCGUAACUAGUGAAAAGUAUGAAUUUGAUAUUUUUGUUAUCAGGUACGUAUUUUAGAAAGGGUUAGUGUUUGAGUUAAGUAGAUCAGUACAAUUAGUAAAAAUAGCCUGAAAUGCUGGUUAAGGAUUCCUUUCUAACACUUUAUCUUAGAACAGUGAUAAUACAGAACAUGAUAAUGUGAAAUAAUAUGAUAAUAUAUAAAGUGAGAAAACAUGACCUUGCAGGUAGGUAAUGGAAGUUGUCCUUUAGAAGUUUUAAAGGUAGAUUAGAUGAAAGACCAGAAGAUAAAAUUAUUUUGUACUUGAAGGAGUGAUGUUGGCUCUGCUAAUACCUAUUAGAUCUUCCUAGGGAGCUCAGAUUGUGACCUUAUUUGUUGGAGUUCUUGGGGACUGAAGUUUAGACUUAUUCCUGUGUUUUUAUAGUAACUUAUGCUACAGGUGAGCCUGCUGUACAGCCAAAUUAAAGAUCUUCUGGGGUAGAACUUUUUUAUUUUCUUCUUGGACUGUAUUGUUCAUAAAUACAUAUAUGUCUUGGUCUUCUCGCGAGUGAUCAAGAUUUUUGUGAAUAAAUAAUGGCAUAUUAAUACUGUUGUGAUUUUUUUUUUUUUUCUAUGCAUAAAAUUAUAUUCUUUUUGUUUUCUGCAGAAAUGUGAUUCCUGAGACUGAAUCUCUAAAGGGCCUGUACAACGUAAUAGAUGUUGGUGGAAGCAUUUAGUAAGUUUUAUUCAAUUUACAUGUUUUAUCUGUUUUUAAUUUUAAAUAUGACUUUGGAAAUUUUGAGUACCUGAGUCAGAAUUGUCAAAAUACAUAGGGAUUUAGUGAAGUUCAAAGCAGCACAAAAAUACAAAAAAUCCCAAGAUGGUUAGAUGUGUGUGAAGUUUAUUAUUUAAAUUUUGCUUAUUAUUCUAACCGAUCAUUUUCUACUUCACUUAAAUUGAGGCAAGACAUACAAUACAGAGAAACCAACAUUUCAACAUGUUUCUAACACUGCUUUAGAUCUGGGUGUUGGUAAACUCCCUUGAAUUUUUGUAAGUAAAGUUUUAUUGGAACAUAGCUAUGCUCUUUCAUUUAUACAUUGUCUAUGUCUGCUUUCCCACUACAACUGCAGAGUUGAGAAUAGUAGUAGCUAAUGACCACAAACCCUAAAAUAUUUACUGUCUUGUCCUAUAAGGAAAGCUUGCGUACCUUUGUCCUAGAUCCAUCUCGAUUGUCAAGUUUACCCUACCUAUUUAGAAGUCCAUAGCCCUUGGGUUGUCUUUUGGUAGUAGAACAUAAUUUUUAAUGGAUUUCAUUGUAGUAAUUCUAAUAAAUUAAGUAAUUCUGAAAUUUCCUUUUUUGAAAGCGUAUCAGACAUUUCUUCUCACAUGGGGGUUAUGCUUUGAUAUAAGAAGACUUGGUUAUAAUUACUGUGGAAGAGUUUUCCUAACUCCCAGCCUGAGAAAUAGUGGGAAAAGAGCUAGGGGUAAGGCUGUAUAAAGCAAAAGGAUUUUUUACCGACAGCAUUUUAGGUAUGAUGAUUGCAUACUAGCUGUUUCUUAAAUACACUUUGAAUCACCUAUGGGAGAUUCUAGAUGAUUUUGCUUCUAGUUACUACUUCAACUUCCAUUGUAUAAAAGGGCUAUUAAGGCCUGCAAAAUAGUAAAUUUUUGUGUGUUUUUUGAGAGGGUGUGGUGAGUCCAGAGAUGAAAACUUUCCUAAUGUAUAGCAGUUAUUGACCUUGUCUUACCAUAUUUUAAAGAGAUUAAUCCCCUGGCAAAUAUAUAGUGUCUUAAACAUUAUCAACUAGUGUUUUGGGUCUAAUAUAAAAACAAAGUGAAACUCAUUAUUGAAACAUUAGUUUCAAUGCUUUAAAUAGUAAUUUUUUCAGUGUGCCUGAAAGCUAAAACUUGGACUCAGUAUAAAUUAAAACUGACAAGAAACUACAACUUGCAAUCUCUUAAGCAGGUAUAGUCAACUUUCAAACUAACAGGGGCAGUGGGGAAGAUUUGAUUUGAUUGCAAAACCUUUAAAUAAGAUAACUCAGAUACCAUAAUUGAUCAACAGUUGGCUGGUCUUUCUCAGAUCAUUGUGUAGUUUAUUUUUAUGCCCACUUUAUUAAGACCCAGACUUGUUAAUAUUUUGUAAUCCUGUAGAGGACUUGCCUUCUUCUUGGGUGGUAAGACAAAAAGAUGUGAAUUUUCUAUUAAAUGUUUUCAAAUUAAAGACCAGUACAAGGAAUAUUGAAAUCCAGCCAUAGCACCAAGAACAAAACUUUAAUUACAUGAUGGGAAGGAUCAAUUUCUGCCCCGGAUUGUAAUUUUAUAUUCAUCUUUUCCUUUGGUUUUCCAAUAAGUGUUCCAGUUUUAAGAGGAUUUAAUAAAUUGUGGCAUUAUUGUAGCCCCCCGUUUUUAAAAUUAAGAAUCAUUGAUCACUCAUUUGUCCUUGCAUUUCUCCCUGUACCCCACAUUUUUGUUGCUAUUAGAAACUGGGGCUUUGUUGGGAUGUAGAGGUAAGGAGAUUGCUUCUUUUGGGGGAGUACCUCUUAAACUCAUUUCUCUAAUGAGCCAUUUGCUUGCAUUUCAGCUAAUAAUGCUUUAUUUUACAAUGACUCAGUGUUUUGGGGACAAAUUUAUUGAAUCUGAAUUUAAAGAGAAGACCUCCUUGCUCAAUUUUAUGUUAAUUUCUGGAUGUGUACAAUAUUUGGAAAUUUUAAGAGGUAGCAGUUACUUCCUACUUCUUAACAUAGUAGCGUUUACCUUUGCUUGUGGGUUUUACUUUACAACAAGCAGUUUUCCAUAAAACGAAGGCAUAAACUAGUGAACAUCAUAGUGGAAAAGUCAAACUUUCCAUAGUAUGAGCGUAAAGCUUAGCUCAUGAGAAACACACGAAAGAUGUGGGCCUGUUUGAUGAUGGAAUUCUAGAUCAAACCGUCAUCUCUUCAGCAGGUCUGCCGCCAUUCACAAGUUACUGGAGAGGGAGUAGUAGUAGGGCUUUGAGAUGUAAAUCCUACUCAGUUUUUUUGUACUGAUGUUAUUUUAGUACAAGACUAAAUUCUCCUUUUAAAGCAAAAGGUGUGUUUUGUCUUGAAAUAAUUGGCUCCAUGAUUCUAUGGAUUCUUCUGAGUUUCAUUAUUGGAAUAUAAAUUAUUUGAAUUUAGUAAAGUUGAUUUGUAGGCCCCCAAGUACUGUGGUUCUUGUGGUAUAUCAGUAAUAGCUAACAUUUAUUGAGGUCUUUCUAUAUGCCAGGCAAUAUAAAUGUACUAUCUCAUUUAAGCCUCACUACUGCCACAUGAGGUAGGUACUGCUAUUACUAUUUCACAGAUGAAGAACUGGAUUUUGUUACCAAGAAUAUUUCUAAGCUCACAGAAUUCAUGCCUACUCUCUUCAAUUUUUUAACAUAACUUUGCUCAUUAGCAAUUUUAGGUUUUGUAAGAAUUUGGAAUUCCAUGAAAAUGAAUGGCUUACUCCUAAAUCCCCUACUCUUUUCAGUGCUUUGAUGCUUGACUGAGCACUUUUACCUUUAACAAGAUUCUCACUUUUGGCUUUUGAUUGACUUUACAGGAAUGCAGAUUGAUGACAGUUUUUAAUGUUAUAGAGGUGUCUCCUUUCUCUUCUAGCAUUCUUUUUUUCACCACCUCCCUUUUUUUUUUACCAUCUUAAAUAUAUAAGUAUAUGUAAUUGAAUGACCAAUAUAUUAGUAUUUUCUAACCUUUAUUUUUACCACACAAACUAGUGACUUUAUUGAGUAAUUUUGGAAAGAUUUUAAAUGUCAUUAGUGUUUUUUUUAAAUUAAAUAAUGGUUUAAAAAGGAAAUUUCAUAUUAAGUCCUAGGUAAAUUUUACCUCUUGUUCUGUGGCAGAAGAAUAUAGAGCAUUGAUUUUUCAUUUCAUGUACUAAUUGAAUAAAUUGCAUCUAUAGACAUUGAAAUGAUUGUAACUUGUUAUCAAUUCUUUAGUUUCAUGUUCAUCAUAAUAGUAUUUACUUCCCCAACUUCAUUUAGAGCUUGAUUUUGCGUUGAAACAAUAGAGAUUGGGAAAAUUGGUUCAUAAUUAACUCUGCAAGAGGAAUGAUGGUAUUUUUAUUUUUAUAGUUCUAUGUAGAAGUAUAUAUUCCUUAAUUUAAAGGAAGGAACAAUUCAGAUGGAAGAUGUUUUAAUAAUGUGGGGAACAAAUAAGUAUAGUUCUCCUUUCAGGCUGGAGAGAAAUCGGCAAAAUAAUUAAAGAGAAAUAUCUUUUGUUUGUUACUGAUUUCGUGGCACUCAUUUUCAGUCAUUUUUAAAAAUAUGAGUGGUAGUGUUUCUUGGUUAACCAAAUAGUUUAUUAAGUAGAUUUUUUUUAUUGUAUGUAGUAGACAGCAAGUCCUAAUUAUAGUUUAGGAAACAAGGUAUUAACUACCUAAUGAGCAAAAAUGCCUUUACAUUUAAUAACCUUAGUCAGUCACCCAGACUUUACCACUUUAAAUUUAGUUUGAGAGCUGCAAAAUUUACAGAGAAGACCAGGGCUAAAACUUAUUUUUGCAAUUAUGUUGAUCCUGAUGAAUCAGGAUUAUUAAAGGCAAAAUCACCUGGCUUCCCACUUAUCCCUUUAAUUCAAAUUAUCUAAGUAAUGUAUUUGUCAUUCUAUGAGGAGCAUUUGAUCUUUUUGCAGUGGGAGUAUUUUAUUUGUUUAUAAUUUGCAUCUGAUAGCACUUAAUGGCAAAUACCAAAUAAGCCAAGCUGAUACUUUGCCUUUUUCAUCAUUUUUUUUUUCUAGUGGCCACGUAUUUCCUGCAUUCUCAGUUACGUAGCUAAAGAUGGUGGCAUCUUGAUUGUCUAUUUGCGUUAUCUAAGCAAAAUUACCAUCUGUUGGACUGGAGAGCUAUGCUAUGAUGGAUCCACUGCUUUUGCUCUUUUUUU